AUUAAAAACACUAACUUUCUCAGCAUUAGACAACCAAGUGUCUUUAAAAUAAUCGAAGUAAAUAAGUAUAUUUAAAUCUACUUGCUUUACAUUAUUUAUUUCUUUGCUGAUAAUUUUUUCUGCUUCGGGAAACAAUGAAGGUGGCAACAGAGGCACAUUCAUCAUUAGGGACAAAAUGUACUGGGGAGUUUUUAAUUUAUAAGAAACCCAGUUCCUAAUUAGAGCCUACAAUUAAAAUAGCAUCGAAGGAGAUAUUAGGAAAAAAAUAAAAAAUGGAUUGGAUUUUAAGAAUUUUAAUUCUAGGAUACAUCGUCACAUUAUCAAGUAAUGUUCAAGGUCAAAGAGUUGCACCAAGUAGUCCACCCCAGCAUUUUUAGCAGCAAGAAGGCCUGCUACAGCAAAUGCAUCAACAGCGAGUUCGCCGACUGCAAGUUCACCAACAUGUUUAUUUUGAUAUUUUUAUAAUAUGUUAUGAUCUAAUCAUUUGCCCAGCUAAGCGGGCGGGUAACGGCUAGUUGUAUAUAACACAGUCUUGGUGAUAAUUUCUCAAAUUCUCAUGAUAUUAAUUAAAGAUACGUUUUUAAUAUGCGAUUUUUUUUUAAUUAUUUAUGUACUUAAGUAAAUGACAAUAACUCAACAAUGUUAUAUUGGAAUUAUAAUUUUAUGAUUGCAUAAAACAUAAUUGUUUGUUCAGAACAUGUUAUUACUACUGAAUAGUAUUUUGUAAGUAUCAGCAAAAAACAAUUAAUUAUACACUACAUGAACAUACAUUAUUUGUAUAUUAUUAAUUGUUAAUAAUCCCAGGCUCAGUUUCUGACCCUCAGAAUUAAUCGUGUUGCACAGUUUAUGAUCUUGGCAGUGGCCUAAUUUCUGAACCUCAAUUUUAAGUAUGAUAAUGUUAACAAAUACCUACUAAUUUUAAAUAAACUUAACUUAUUACUUAAGUAAAUAAAUUUAAUAUUUGCUAUGAAAAGACAGUUUAAAACUAAAAAAUUGCGUAGCGUGGUGGCCAGAAGUAAAACAAAAGAGUCGCUUGCAAGUAAAAUUUUAUGAA